UGGCCUUGACAUCCUUGGAAUUCCUCAGAAAUGAGGAAGUGCCUUCGGGAACCGAGAGACAGGUGCUGCAUGGCUGUCGUCAGCUCGUGUCGUGAGAUGUUGGGUUAAGUCCCGCAACGAGCGCAACCCUUAUCCCUAGUUGCCAGCGUUAAGUCGGGAACUCUAGGGAGACUGCCGGUGACAAACCGACGGAAGGUGAGGAUGAUGUCAAGUCAUCAUGGCCCUUACGGCCAGGGCUACACACGUGCUACAAUGGGUAGCACAAAGGGUUGCCAACCUGUGAAGGGGAGCAAAUCCCAUAAAACUACUCGUAGUUCGGAUUGGAGUCUGCAACUCGACUCCAUGAAGUGGAAUCGCUA
rnacentral:rRNA from 1 species